CCUGUUAGGUCUGGGUGGAAUUCCUCAGGAGGGAGAGGCUCUGAUGGGGGGGAGGGGACACAGACCCACUCCAGGAAUAGGUGAGCCCCUUCCAGUGCUGUUUCCGGAUGCCACCAGGCUUGUGCCUUUGCCCCCGGGGCGGCAGGGAGGAGGGGGUUCCGGCACUGCCAGAUCAGAGAUGUAGUCCAGUUGGAUCCCACCUGCCUGCCCACCCUCUGGUCUGGACAAGUAUUGCUGACAUGGCUGCAGCCCCCGGGGCAGUAUAUUGCAUACCUGAAGGAGAGCACAGAGAAAUGGAGGAAUAGACAGGAAGCCCUCAGGCAUAACGCCAGUAGCCUCUCCUGGCAACUGAUAGUUCAGCAGACAUAUUAUAUGGAUUUGUGGGCUGACUUUCAUACCAUGGUUAAGGUCAGAGUUACACACAGAGAGAAGGAGAGGGAGAGAGAGAUGAUGAUUCACUGCCCAAGAUGACUGUAAGGGCUGGAGCUGUGCCGAUCUGAAGCCAGGAGCCAGGCGCUUCCUCCGGACCCCCAACGCAGGUGCAGGAGCCCAAGGACUUGGACCAUCUUCUACUGCUUUCCCAGGCCUCAGCAGAGAGCUGGACUGGAAGAGGAACAGAUGGGACUAGAACCGGCACCCAUAUGGGAUGCUGGCACUGCAGGCAGCGGCUUUACCUGUUGCGCCACAGUGCAGGUCCUGCAGACACAGUUCUAAGAAUGCAAUGAUAUUCCCUUCCUCUCCUUUCCCUCCCUCCACUUCUCUUCCUCCCACUCUAUUCCUUAUCCCUUUCUUUUUUUUUAAUUUUUGAGGUAACAGAACUUAAAUUUACAUUGCAGUGAAAAGACUUAAUACUUAACCAGAUAAGAAGUUUAACAAGUAAAAAACAAAAAGAGCCUAGUUUACUGGGAAUGUAGAGAAGGGCUGUAAACAAUAAUUGAGUGGAAGAACAUCCAUUUCAUUGAACUUAUGGGAACUUAAAGCUCAGAGCCUACCUGACUCCCAAGUUCUUUCUCUUACGCCGAGUCUCCUUUGCAGUUUUAUGCUGCUCUGAGGGUGAGCUGGCUCUUUAUGCCACCACUCCCCACUGCCUCUUGCAGCUAAAACGGUGAGGCCAGUGAGCAUUGCAUUGAAUCUUUUCAUUCGAUAAUCUGUUUCUAUGAGAUCGCUUACAGAACUUUAUGAAUUAGCAACUUUACACACAUCCUUAUUGGCAUAACUGAUCCUAUUUGCAUAUCUAAUAUUUUUGUUUGGGGCAUGAUCCACUCAGAAUCUGUUUAUAUUUUGUUGCAAUUUGUAUUCAUGCAUCCAAAUAUGCCAUCUCUUUAAGGACUUGGUGUGCACCAGUGAAGAGACCUUGCAAGAAAUAAAAAAUCUAAUAGAUGAGCUGUAUGAAAGGGAUGAAAAAAUCGCAAGUGUCAGUACUUGGCUCCAAGGGAACCUUGAAGAGCUGCGUUCUCUCAUGAAGCAUGAAUCAUCACUGGACCUGCAUUGCAAGUAUAUGACUCAGCUUUUCACCACUGAAAUGAAAUACCCGAGGAAACUAUAAGGAAACAUGGGCUUAUUGAGAUUACAGCUUUGGAAUGUCAAGUCCAAGAUCGGGCAACCCUGUGGGUUUGGUAUCUGAUGUUAGUUGGCAACAGUGAGCAUGUGUGGAGCAACAAUCAGGUGGUGAGGUCAUGCUUUUCUAACAGUGCUUUCACAAGAAUGACCUUCUGAGGGACACUCAGUGACCCAAGGACCUCUCAUGAGCUCCCACCUCCUACACCAUAAUUGGAUUCAGCUUCCACUCUCCUAGUGCCAUUAACUUCUUUUAAGAUUUUUUUAAGAUUUGUUAUUUUAUUUAUUUGAAAGGCUGAGUUAGAGGGAGACAUAGAGAGAAGGAGGGAAAGAGAGAGAGAGAGAGAGAGAUCUUUCAUUCAUUGGUUCAGUCCCCAAAUGGCAGCUUAUAGCUAGAGCUGGGCUGAUCCGAAGCAGGAACCAGGAACCUUCUCUGGGUCCUCAACGCGGGUGCAGGGACCCAAGCACUUGGGUCAUCUUCUAUUGCUUUCCCAGGCUAUAGCAGAGAGCUGGAUCAGAAGAGGAGCAGCUGGGACUCGAACUAGCAUCCACAUAGGAUGCCAGCACUGCAGACGGUGACUUUACCUGCUGCACCACAGCGCCGGCUCCAGUACCCUUAACUUUUUUUUUUUUAAAUUAAUUAAUUUAUUUGAAAGAGUUACACAGAGCGAGAAAGAGAGGUGGAGAGAGAGAGAGAGAGAGAGAGAGAGAAAGAGAGGUCUUUCAUCCACUGGUUCACUCCCCAAUUGGCUGCAAUGGCCUGAGCUGCGCCAAUUCAAGACCAAGAGCCAGGAGCUUCCUCUGGGUCUUCCCAUGCAGGUGUAGGGGCCCAAGGACUUGGGCCAUCUUCUAUUGCUUUCCCAGGCCAUAACAGCGAGCUGGAUUGGAAGUAGAGCAGCUGGAACUUGAACCAGCACCCAUAUAGGAUGCUGGCACUGCAGGCAGCAGCUUUACCUGAUACGCCACAGCGCCAGCCCCUCAUUAACUUCUAACUUUGGGAUUUGAUAUCCUGCAUGAGUUUUGGAGUCAAGUCAUAGUCAAACUAUAGCAUCCUGCCCCAUGGCUCCCUGAAACUCACAUCCUCCUUACAUACACAUACAAUCUUCCCAUCCUUAGUAGUUCCAAAGUCUUCUGUCCAGCACGAGAUCAAAAAUCCCAAGACCAGGGUCUCAUUUGAGACUCAGGACAAACUCUUUCAUUCAUUAGUUCCUGUAAAACCAAAAUAUGUUACCUGCUUCCAAGAUACAAUGGCAGGACACAAAUAGAAAAUGAGAAAUAGAGAAAUAGAAAGGAAAAAAGUCACCCCAAAACAAGACAGAAGCCCAGCAGGGUGAACAUCAAAUACUAAGGCUCCGUGUCCAGCAUCCUGGGCUCACUGUGGUGGUCGAGCCCCAAUAGGGCCCUCCUCUAUGGUUCUGUUGGUCUCUGCCCACGUGCCUGCUCUGGGACUGCAUGCGAAUGUCAAUGGCUUUUAAGAGUCAGUGUUGCUUACUGCUGAAUUCCUCUGCCUUCCUGGGGAAUCCACCCUGGCUUCUUUCCCAUAGCUUCACUAGGCAUCACCGUAUCAGGGGCUCGACACAGGGCUCCAACUCUGCAGUGCAGCUCUGCCUGCCCUCCUAGGACUUCCUCUGAAAUCCUGGUAGCAGCUGCCAUGGCUUCAUAAAUCAUGCAAAACCAGCAUCACAUGGGCAACAGCAUCAUUUGCACCGAACCCAUGGUUACAGCCCCAAAUGCUUCACCAGCUAAGGUCGGGGAAGCACAUCCACAGGUGAUCUUGGCUGAACUCUUGCAAAGUGCUCCAUGAUCUCCUGGCAUAUUACGGCCGUUCCAGGCCUCUGGGCUUGUGAUGCCCUUUGGGCAGCCACUUUCCCCACUGUCUUGCCCCUGGCACAUGGUUCCCUUGAACCUGCACUAAUCUCCUUAGCCAGCAGCUUCUCCACUCUACUUUACUGUCCAGAACAAACACUUCUUUCCUUCUCUGCUCAGGCUGUGAGUUGUCCAAAUCCUUCCACCCUACAACUUUUUUCUCCUGAUUUUCAGUGUGGAGCUAACGAAAGGUGGCCAGUAACACUCAUGCUCAAGCUGUAGCUCAAAUGCUGUGCUAUUUUGAAAUUUCUGCCAAAUAAGUGGUGUAUCACCUUUAAGCCUGGCUUUCCAUGAAUUCUUAGGUCAUGGACAGGGCAAAGUCAGGUUUGUGCUCAACGUGACAAGAGCGCCCUCUAGUACAGACCCCAACAGAAUCCUCAUUUUCAUCCAAAACCUCAACAGCAUGCUUUUCACCAUCUACCUGUCUAUCAGCAUUCUGGUAGUCUAAGUCCUCACUGUAACUGCCCAAGAUGCUCUGAUGAUAGAAUUCUAGGUUUUCUCCAGCCUGUUCUUCCAAACUUCCAGAUUCUUCCUGUUAACCAAUUUCAAAGGCACUUCGAUGUCUUCAGGUAUGGCUAUCCUUACAGCCCUAAUCCUAGUAUCACCUUUCUGUAUUAAUCAACUCUUCUUCAUUAUAUAAUGAAUACCUGACACAGUGUAACUCUGUAAAGGAAAGAGCUGUGUUUCUGUGCUUUGGCGCACAGUUCUGGAGGCUCACAGGCCAAGAUCAAGUGGGUGCUAUUGGUUCAGCCUCUCCUGAUGGUAUUCUCGCUGGCAGUCCCAAGGCAGUGCAGUGUCACGUGACAAAAGAGAGGUUACAUACGUGUCUGUUUAUGUACAAGUGGUCACUUAUAAAACCACCAGGAUUUAAUCAUGGGGCUCCAUCCUAGUGAUCCAAGACAGUCACUUUCUCAAGGUCCAUGCCCAAACACCGCAACUGGAUUAACUUUCCACUCGCUUAGUGCCAUUGACAUAAGGCUCUGUUGAUAUCAACAGGAGAAAAAUGAAGUACCAGCUAAAUGACUGAGCUACCCCUAAUCACUCAUCCCCAUUAAUGUUGCUAACGUUGGUUGAACAUAGUAGUACAGAAGUGGUUGCCACUAUAGUCUUCCACCAGAGAGAAUUUUCUAGAUAACUGAAUCUUACCUUCUUUAUCACUAAAAAAUAGAAACUCAUCAUUUAAACACUUCCCAAAUAAGCCUUCACAUGCAUCCUUGUCUUCUUAACAGAAGAAAUUGGACACAACUUCACCUUCUCUUCCUGAGCUGAAUUUAGCAUGAAAACAGCAACUGUUUUCUUCCCUGAAAAACGGAUAGCACAUCCUCUAUUUUCACACAGUUUGAGGAUGAUCUUAUUAGUAAUCUAUGGAAAGCAGGCAAUAGCAGUGUGGCAGCAAAUGAAAACCACUCAGAUGAGAACAUGCAAAGGCCAUUCAUGCAGAGUUUGCUGCAGCAAUGGAGUUAGCCACCGGUUGGUCCAUUUAUGCUGUUGUAAGAAGCUUCCAUAAACUGAGUGGCUUGUAAAUAAUGGAAAUUUAUUUCUCACAGUUCUGUAGGCUGGGAAGUCAAGAGUGAGGCACCGGCAGCUUCAGGGUCUGUUAAGAAUCCCCUGCCUGGGGUGGGAGCUGUGGUGUAGCAGGUAAAGCUGCUGCCUGGGGCGCAGGCAUCCCAUAUGGGUGCUGGUUUCAGACCCAGCUGCUCCACUUUUAGUCCAGCUCCCUCCUGGUGCACCUGGAAAAGCAGUAGAGGAUGGUCCAGGUGCUUAGGCCCCUGCCACCCACCUGGGAGACCUGGAGGAAGCUCCUGGCUCCCGGCUUCAGCCUGGCCCAGCCCUGGCCAUUGUGGCCAUCUGGAGAGUGAACCAGCAGAUUGAAGGUCUAUCUCUCCUUCCCUCCAUUCCUCCCUCUCUCUCUCUCUCUCUCUCUCUCUCUGCAACUCUGCCUUACAAAUAAUGAAUGAGUCUUUAAAAAAAAAAUGCAGAGACAUCCCCACCCCUUCCCCUCCCCCUCCCCACAAUGAGAAUCCCCUUCCUGGGUCACGAUGGCACCUUCCUGCUGUGUCCACACAAAGCUACUGCUGCUCCCCGACUUCAUCCCCUUCCAAGCUGCCAGCUGUUCACCAGGUCCUGCCUGUUCUUGGCCAGUGGCUGCAGUGGCUGUGGUGUGGGUCAGAGUCAUUGUCCCAUAUGAGUUGGCUGCCCUCAACUUGUUUAUUUGGUCUCUCAGCAGGGGAUUUCAAUGGGCACGAUAUCGAUUAAGGGUCAAGUUUGUAGACCACUGGCCUCGGUCUCCUCUGAUCAACAUUUUUUCAUAAAGCCAUCAUUUGCAUAAUGAAACGUCAGACCCUAAGAAAACAGACUGAUGCGAACUGCAGUGACACUCUACUGGGACAUGUUGGUUCUGCAGCCCCCCUCACGGUCUCAGCUGCUUCUCCCUGUCUUCCCGGAUCAGGCAUUAGGAAGACGCCUGCGUCCCACACCCGAGUACCUGGGUUCAUUCGUGGGCUCCAGGUCCUGGCUGCAGCCUCCCGCCAAUGCAGAGCCUGACAGGCAGUGGUGAUGGCACAAGUACUGGGACCAGCUCUGGCCACUGUGGGUAGUUGGAGUGUGAACCAGCUGUCUCUGUACUCUGUAUGGGAGCUGUCUCCCUACGUCUACCUGCCUGGCUCCCUCUACCUCUCAAAUUAACUAAUACAAAUCUAAAAAACAUGGUAAAGAUUUGGGGGCAAAUUUACUACAACCCCAUAAUAAACCAGCUCCCCUGUUGUGUUUGUAAACCCCAGAACUAAUGGGUUUUAUAUUGCUUAACAGUCAGGUGAAAAAAUCAACAGAAUAUUCCAUGACAUCAUAACAUUCAAACAUCCAUGACCAGAAAGAACUGUUUCAUGGUAGCACAGCCGUGCUCAUUCAUGAACACACUAUGAAUGCUUGCGUUUGUGCUACAGCCUGAAAUACUUCCUCUCUGACCCUACACAGCACAGUUUUCCAACCUUGAACUGGGGGCACGGGAGAGGUGCUGACAGUGACAUCGUGUUCUCUGGCCACUCACAGAGAGAAUGAGCCUUGUGGGCAGCCAGGCAAAGCUGAGGGCCCACGCAGGCUGAGACAGAAAGGAUAAGGCUGACCCCUUGGUCCCACACCAUGAGGAGUUGGUGCACAAUGACCAAUCUGGGAAAACUGAAAAUGAAAAUUGUCGCUUAUAUGAAAAAUGUAUGUUCUUACUGAAAAUACAUUUCCAGUCAGUAGAUUGGUGAUUUGACAAAUUCCAAAUCAAGAAUCAGUCUGUGAGCUACUUCAGAAAGCUUGAGUCGGUACAGGCAUUUGACCUAGCGGUUAGGAUGCUGGUGAAGUUGCUGGCCCCUCACAGUGAAGUGCCUGGGUUCAACCCCUGGCUCCGCUCCUGAUUCCAGCUUCCUGAUAAUGGACACCUGGGGGGCAGCAGUGAUGGCUCAAGUGGUUGGGUCCCAGGCAUCCAUGUGGAGACCUGGAUUGAGCUUCUGGAUUCGGCCUUGGCCAGUGUGGAGUGAAACAGUAAGAAAGCCAUCUUUCUCUCUUUCCCUCUGUGUGUGUGUCUCAAAUAAAUAAAUAAAUAACAUUUUUAAAGUUCAUGGAAAAUGGAGCUAUACAACACAUUUAUUUUGGUGCAAAAAUAUUUUGACAUCCAUCCCUAGUUUUUCCAUAAUCUGCAUUUCCCUGACAGGAAGAACUAACCUGGCUAAGAGAGAUCUCUGGACUGGAAACUGCGCAAGAUCUCCGGCUUCCCACAGCCCUGUGCCUGUCUGACUGGCACAGUGUGGGCUCGGGAGUGAGGGGGACCCGAGGCUCCUACACCAGACGGAACCCCCGGCUCCUACACCAGACGGAAUCCCCGCUCCCGCUUCCCCGUGGUGAAAUGCUGGUGAUAACAGCAGGUCCCCAGCACCAGCCCCAUGCCUGGCCCUCUUCAGAGCCCUGCCACCUGCCACCCUCCUGGGAGGAAGGAGGAGUCUGAAUGCUUGGCCACCUGUGAGCCACCGCUGUCUCCUGGCUUCCAUGCGUCCUUCCUGGGCACUUCUGUAGCAGCCCCGGAUCUCUUCAGCCAACCGCCCUCUGCUGUGCUGUCCUCCUGUGAACAGCGCAGUUAGCGCACACCUGCAGGCCUGCCCUUCACUAAUGCAGCCAGCACCAGAGGGAGGGCCAGGCACCUGCAGCGUCGCCUUGACAAAGCUCAGUGGACACAGCCCCUAAACCUUAAAGCACACACCCUGUGAGAAACUGACGGUGCGGAGAUGGGUAGAGUGGUUCCUAGUGGAGGGAAAGGCUCCAGUGUUUACUUAGUAUUUAUGUAUGUGAAAGGCACAGCUCCAGAGCUCUUCUGUCUGCCGGUUCACUCCCCGGAUGCCCACACAGCCAGAUGCAAAUUCCAUCCGGUUUCCCCCGGGGGUGGCAGAAACCAUUCUGGCCGUGGUUUGCUGCCCCCCAGGAAGCUGGGUCAGAAGCGCGGAGCAGCCGGGACUUGUGGAGCUUUAAUUCACUGUGCUGCAAGGCCUGCCCCAAGCCUUUUCUUUUUAUUUUGAUUUAUUUGAAAGAGUGAAAGAGAGAGGGCUCUUCUAUCUGCUGAUUCACUCCCCAACACCUGGCCCAGCUCUGGCUGAAACUGGGAGCCCAGGACUUCAUUGGGUCAGGGACCCAAGUAUUUGAGCCAUUGCCUGCUGCUUCCCAGGGUGCACAUUAGCAGGAAGCUGGAAUGGGAAAUGGGGCAGGGACUCAGACAUGGGCACUCUCCCAGGGGGAUGCAGGCAUCCCCGGGGGCAUCUUAACCACCGUGCCCAACAGCUGCCCCACAGCGCCCAGUCUGAUUGGACACUGGGGUGCAAGGGUGUCUCCCGGGAGACACAGAAGACACAAGACCUGGCCCAGCACUGCACACAGCAAGGCUGAGUGGAGGUGUGGGGUGACAGCCCUGUUACACCUGCUCACCCAGAACACCCAAGUUGCUACUCUGCCUUAACUUUCCUUCUUGUGAACCAAAGGUAAAUGUCAAUUCUUGAAAUAUACCCAACCUAAAUAGUAACUUAGAUCAAAUUACUUUUUAAGUAUUUAAAAGAAUUUUUUUUCAAAGGACAAAAGUAGUGAUUGGACAAGUGUAGUGAUUGUACCACAUACUAUGACUCAGGUUAUUAACUGAGUAUCUUAACUUAAUAUGUGCUGUACUGGCUGGCGUCGCGGCUCAAUAGGCUAAUCCUUGGCCUGCGGCGCCGGCACCCCGGGUUCUAGUCCUGGUUGGGGCGCCGGAUUCUGUCCCAGUUGCUCCUCUUCCAGGCCAGCUCUCUGCUGUGGCCAGGGAGUGCAGUGGAGGAUGGCUCAAAUCCUUGGGCCCUGCACCCGCAUGGGAGACCAGGAGAAGCACCUGGCUCCUGCCUUCGGAUCAGUGUGAUGCGCCAGCCGCAGCGCGGUGGGUGGGCUGCAGCGCACGGGCUGCAGCGGCCAAUGGGGAGUGAACCAACGGCAAAGGAAGACCUUUCUCUCUGUCUCUCUCUCUCACUGUCCACUCUGCCUGUAAAAAAAAAAAAAAA